rnacentral:rRNA from 1 species
AGUGAACGCUGGCGGUAGGCCUAACACAUGCAAGUCGAACGGCAGCACAGUAAGAGCUUGCUCUUACGGGUGGCGAGUGGCGGACGGGUGAGGAAUACAUCGGAAUCUACUUUUUCGUGGGGGAUAACGUAGGGAAACUUACGCUAAUACCGCAUACGACCUACGGGUGAAAGCAGGGGAUCUUCGGACCUUGCGCGAUUGAAUGAGCCGAUGUCGGAUUAGCUAGUUGGCGGGGUAAAGGCCCACCAAGGCGACGAUCCGUAGCUAGUCUGAGAGGAUGAUCAGCCACACUGGAACUGAGACGCGGUCCAGACUCCUACGGGAGGCAGCAGUGGGGAAUAUUGGACAAUGGGCGCAAGCCUGAUCCAGCCAUACCGCGUGGGUGAAGAAGGCCUUCGGGUUGUAAAGCCCUUUUGUUGGGAAAGAAAAGCAGCAGGUUAAUACCCCGCUGUUCUGACGGUACCCAAAGAAUAAGCACCGGCUAACUUCGUG